rnacentral:piRNA from 1 species
UGGCACAAACUCCACAGUAGUUACGCACCA